GGCACCUGAGCUAACAUCUGUUGCCAAUCUUUUUUUUCUUCUCCCCAAAACCCCCCAGUACAUGGUUGUAUAGUCUACUUGAGCUCUGUGGGACACCGCCUCAGCGUGGCCUGAUGAGCAGUGCUAGGUGCGCUCCCAGGAUCUGAACCAGCGAAACCCCGGGCCACCGAUGCGGAGCACGCGAACUUAACCACUGGGCCACGGGGCUGGCCCUGGGGAUUUUUACAUUUAUGCCGAAUUGUAGGUGACCUUUAUUUCUGUGCUGCAGAUAACACAGGAAGGAAGAGAGAAAAGCUCUUGGAGAAAGAGCCCCCUCAGGGUCAGUGUGUGCCAGUGCGGAGCAGCUGGGCUAAGAUGUGCUCCCCAGCGGACACAGUGCCGGUUCCUGAAACCAGAAGCACUUCUGGACUCGCUGGACUCUCAGGGCCUCUCCGUCCCCCUCGCCACAGUGCCCCUCCCCCACGCCGCAGAGCUGGCUGAUUCGAGGAACAGAAAUGGAGUCACCGUCACAGAAGUCACGCUACAACUUCCAGGAUUAAGUAGGCAGCUAACCAAAUCCGCUACCAGUUUGUGAAAAAAUCCAGUUAUUGGAUUUAAACUAGAAACUUAUUAUUACAUGUUUGUUACACAUUCCAGAUAAUGGGUGCACUUCCCAAACUUACACUGAUUUUGAACACAUGAAUGCUUCCUACAUAUAUCAUAAAGAAUUGUGUGUAUAUUUGCAUUUAUAUACAUAGAUGAAAAAACUGAUAUAAUUAAUUCAUUUAAACUUUGUUAAAAGUAUCAAAAAUAGAUUAUAAAUACCAUUUUUAAAAUAAAACAUUUUUUUCUAAAUGACA
rnacentral:lncRNA from 1 species